CCCUUAGAUGUUCUGGGCCGCACGCGCGCUACACUGACGAUGGCAACGAGUUUUUCCUUCGCCGAAAGGUGUGGGUAAUCUUUUGAAACAUCGUCGUGCUGGGGAUAGAUCAUUGCAAUUUUUGAUCUUGAACGAGGAAUUCCUAGUAAGCGCGAGUCAUCAGCUCGCGUUGAUUACGUCCCUGCUCUUUGUACACACCGCCCGUCGCUACUACCGAUUGAAUGGUUUAGUGAGGACUCCUGAUUGGCGCCGCCGCCCCGGCAACGGAGCAGCGGACUGCCGAAAAGUUGUUCAAACUUGAUCAUUUAGAGGAAGUAAAAGUCGUAACA
rnacentral:rRNA from 1 species